rnacentral:rRNA from 1 species
UACAGAGGUCUCAAGCGUUGUUCGGAUUCAUUGGGCGUAAAGGGUGCGUAGGUGGCGCGCUAAGUCAGGUGUGAAAUUUCGGAGCUUAACUCCGAAACUGCAUUUGAUACUGGCGUGCUUGAGGACUGGAGAGGAGACUGGAAUUCACGGUGUAGCAGUGAAAUGCGUAGAGAUCGUGAGGAAGACCAGUGGCGAAGGCGGGUCUCUGGGCCGAUACUGACGCUGAGGAGCGAAAGCGUGGGGAGCGAACAGG